CACCGCCCCACAUCUUCUCCAUCUCAGACAACGCCUAUCAGUACAUGCUGACAGAUCGGGAGAACCAGUCCGUUCUCAUCACCGGAGAAUCCGGGGCAGGGAAGACUGUGAACACGAAACGUGUCAUCCAGUAUUUUGCCAGCAUUGCAGCCAUAAGUGACCGUGGCAAGAAGG